AUCUUCGUCUUUCUUCGCCUCAACGAUCACAUGCAUCUCUUCGACAUCGCUGUUGUUUCAUUUGCGCCAUUUUGUCUGCUCACUUUGGUGAUUGGGCUUUGGAACCCUGUACUGGAGCCAAUCAGAGGGAUACCGGACAGCGAAGAAACGGAGGGACUGUGACUAACUGACCAUGGAGUACACCACCGCCACCACCUCAACAGGGGAGCAGAUAGUCGUACAGACGUCCAACGGACAGAUCCAACAACAGACUCAGGGCACAAUGACGGCUGUGCAGCUGCAGACCGAGGCGCCGGUAUUGACGGCCUCUGGCCAGCAGGUGCAGACACUCCAGGUAGUGGUGUGACCGUCUGC